GUGGUUUAAUUCGACGCAACGCGAAGAACCUUACCAGGCUUGACAUCCCCUGACCGCGUAUGAAAGUACGUUUUCACCCUCGGGUGACAGGGAGACAGGUGGUGCAUGGUUGUCGUCAGCUCGUGUCGUGAGAUGUUGGGUUAAGUCCCGCAACGAGCGCAACCCCUACGUUUAGUUGCUAACGCGUGAAGGCGAGCACUCUAGACGAACUGCCGUUGACAAAACGGAGGAAGGUGGGGAUGACGUCAAAUCAUCAUGCCCCUUAUGUUCUGGGCUACACACGUGCUACAAUGGCCGGUACAGACGGACGCAAAGCCGCGAGGUGGAGCAAAUCCUAAAAAGCCGGUCUCAGUUCGGAUUGCAGGCUGCAAUUCGCCUGCAUGAAGUCGGAAUCGCUAGUAAUCGCAGGUCAGCAUACUGCGGUCGAAUACGUUCCCGGGCCUU
rnacentral:rRNA from 1 species